CUCGAAGUUUCUUGCGGGUGGAUUCAGUCAGGAGUCUGCGACCCUCCUUCCAUUUUAACCUCUCAUCAAUGAGCGGGGCCAUGGCGGGGAGGUUAAAACUCGUAGAGGCCUGACGCAUUUCCAACCCGUACGAAGAACGCCGCAGCCGGUUGGGUAGCUGCGCGUGUCGGCCAUGAGGUCGGGCGCUGGAAGUAGACCGUUUCUCGCUAAAAAGUGGCGUUUGCCGGUUGUUUAUCCAGCCCGUCCGUGGCGCGACACCCGACCGAGGUAAAGGUCUUAAUCUGUUGGAUCUCAGUAAUCGUACCUUCACGGGGUCAAUACCGUGAGCGUAGCGGCGGACAGGUGUGUUGCUGCGCAAGGCUACUUUCGUCCUCGUACAGGGUAGGGCGUAGUUUCCACCGGUAGUCCGUGUCAGUUACGCAAGGGUGUUUCGAUGGCUAGCGGCGAGUAGGUCGGUCACCCACCCGACCCGUCUUGAAACACGGACCAAGGAGUCUAACAUGUGCGCAAGUCAUGGGGUCUUGAAUAGGCCCAGAGGCAUAAUGAAAGUGAGCUACAGUCUCGGACUUUAAUUAAAGUUACCGUUGCUGUGUUGGGAAUUCCCGAGGCAUUAGUACCUGAGGAAUGCACCAACGACCCGCCCUGUUCUUUCUAAGUGUGGACGGAGUUUGAGCGCACACGUUGGGACCCGAAAGAUGGUGAACUAUGCCUGGGCAGGACGAAGCCAGAGGAAACUCUGGUGGAGGUCCGCAGCGGUU
rnacentral:rRNA from 1 species